rnacentral:rRNA from 1 species
CAGUAGCGUAUACUAAUGUUGCUGCAGUUAAAAGCUCGUAGUUGGAUUUCUGGUGGUUGAUUUUGGUCCGCUACUUUUGUAGAUGAGUAUCAUUUUUCAACUAUCAUCCUAAUUGGUUUGUCGGGUUCACGCUCGAUGAUCAGAUUUCUUUAUCUUUUGAAAACUUAAAUGAGUGUUAAAGCAGGCUUAAGCCGUUGAAUACAUUAGCAUGGAAUAAUAAGAUAAGACUUGGGUCAUUAUUUUGUUGGUUUGCGGAUCGAGGUAAUGAUUAAUAGGGAUAGUGGGGGUAUUCAUAUUUAAUUGUCAGAGGUGAAAUUCUUGGAUUUAUGAAAGAUGAACUUAGGCGAAAGCAUUUACCAAGGAUGUUUCAUUAAUCAAGAAC